GCAGACCAGAGGAACUUGGAAACCUCACUUCCCUCACAAAUUUACAGCUUGGUGAAAAUCACUUGAUAAUUUGUUAUUUGGCACUAUCCCAUCUGUCUUCUUCGACGACGACGAUGUAGGAGGCACUAGUUGGGCUGGGCUAUCCUGUUGGCUAUUCCAGUGGUUACUGGAAUUAUUGCCACCAGGAAGUUCACACAUCGGUAGUUAUGAUACAUCGGAGAGAGAUUUAAAUGGUGCACACCCGAAGUCCUCAUAAUUGGUAAAGCCUCAAAUUUGUGUUUGUCAAUAUAUUGGUGAGUUGGCUAUUAUUUUAUCAGGGUGGUUUUCUUUGUUUUUCUUAAAUGAUAUGUGUUGUACGUGUCCAAGAUUUGCACUGUUUACUAGGUGCAUCAAUUAUGAUCUCUUGGAAGAAAUUAUUUUUUAUUCAAUUUGUAAGAGUAAAUUAAUUAGGAAUAACAAGCUACAUUGCUUAGAUAUGGUGUGUAAGAAGUACUACAUGGUCAUCCAUGGCUUUAACUGCAGCUUUAUGACAAAGGACAAUUUCUACCUUGCAUCCCUCUUUGUUGAAUGUACGUAUCAUGGGAUGGAAUCUGAAAAAAAAGAAUAAUGUUGAGUUUUAUGAUCUGUUGCAGUUAGAAUUAGCUAGUUGAUUAGAGCUGAUGUUAUUUUAGUUACUGAUACUAGUAUUAUAUUAACUUGAAUGCUCAUGCCCCGACCGGCUUAGAUCCUUCUGUGCGAGCUGAAAUACGAGAGGAAUUGCGCCAAGAAUUGCGGGAAGAAUUACGACAAGAAAUGAGUCAGGAACUCGAUGCUGAUCGUGAGCAAAGAACAAAGUUGGAAAAUGAUGAUGCAAGAGAUGAUGAAGCAGUUCAUGACGACGUUCCACCCGUCCAGCCACGCUCCUGACGGUUCUGUGGGGAUAUGACCCAUGUAUCACAAACUUGAUACCUUGUCUUUUCUUUUGAACAUCAUACAUUUCAUACUUU